AUUGAACGCUGGCGGCAGGCUUAACACAUGCAAGUCGCACGAGUGGCGGACGGGUGAGUAAUGUUUGGGAAUCUAGCUUAUGGCGGGGGAUAACUACGGGAAACUUUAUCUAAUACCGCGUACCAUAGGAUGUGACCAAGUGGGAUUAGGUAGUUGGUGAGGUAAAGGCUCACCAAGCCGCCGAUCUCUAGCUGGUCUGAGAGGAUGACCAGCCACACUGGGACUGAGACACGGCCCAGACUCCUACGGGAGGCAGCAGUGGGGAAUAGUGCGCAAUGGGGGCAACCCUGACGCAGCCAUGCCGCGUGUAUGAAGAAGGCCUUCGGGUUGUAAAGUACUUUCAGUCGGGAGGCGUUACCGACAGAAGAAGCACCGGCUAACUCCGUGCCAGCAGCCGCGGUAAUUC
rnacentral:rRNA from 1 species